rnacentral:rRNA from 1 species
UAGAGCAGAUAUCACCUUAUCCGGGAUCCUCAUAUGGAUAACUGCGGAAAUACUGGAGCUAAUACAUGCAACUAUACCCCAACGCAAGGCGGGGUGCAAUUAUUAGAACAGACCAAACGUUUUCGGACGUUGUUUGUUGACUCUGAAUAAAGCAGUUUACUGUCAGUUUCGACUGACUCUAUCCGGAAAGGGUGUCUGCCCUUUCAACUAGAUGGUAGUUUAUUGGACUACCAUGGUUGUUACGGGUAACGGAGAAUAAGGGUUCGACUCCGGAGAGGGAGCCUUAGAAACGGCUACCACGUCCAAGGAAGGCAGCAGGCGCGAAACUUAUCCACUGUUGAGUAUGAGAUAGUGACUAAAAAUAUAAAGACUCAUCCUUUUGGAUGAGUUAUUUCAAUGAGUUGAAUACAAAUGAUUCUUCGAGUAGCAAGGAGAGGGCAAGUCUGGUGCCAGCAGCCGCGGUAAUUCCAGCUCUCCUAGUGUAUCUCGUUAUUGCUGCGGUUAAAAAGCUCGUAGUUGGAUCUAGGUUACGUGCCGCAGUUCGCAAUUUGCGUCAACUGUGGUCGUGACUUCUAAUUUGCUGGUUUGAGGUUGGGUUCGCCCUUCA